UGAUAGAAACAAGAUUGCGCAAUGCCGAGUUCAAAUUUUGUUCGUUCUGCGCAUCUACGUCACGGUUGACCAACUUACAAUCAGCUGAUUUUCAGUUGGUUGUUUUUCUUUGCAAUAAGAAGCAAUUUUGUAUUGCAGGCAUACAAAAUCAUGAAUUUCAUCAACAUUUAACAUCAAUAUAAAAUUUCGGCACUUACCUGGCCGUUGGUGAAAAUGCAGCUAAGUUUUUGCUCCAAAUUAUCUCUAUGGAAUUCCGCAGUUUUAAUGGAAAUCUUGAGGCGUUUAAUUUCUGCUAACUGCUCGUUUUUGCACUUAUUCAAAGUGCUAACAACACUAUUCAGCCUUUGUCUAAAAAGAACAGAAAAUACACAUACUUAUUAUUUUCUCGUCCUUCUCAUCGAUGACCUCUUCUUCUGCAGUUUGCGGUGCCUCUACAACCUCGUUUUCUUGAAUUACUUCAACAGGGUCGGUAUUCUUCAAGAUUGUUGUCAACAUCUCUUUUUUGGAACGAGACU